UAUACCGUUGAGAAAGCUGGUA
rnacentral:siRNA from 1 species